GUUGGCGGUAAGAAAAUAAGUGGCGAGAAAAAAGUGAAGAAAACUGUUACUAGCAAGAAAACAGCGGAGAAGAAGAAAAGUGAAAAAGCCAAAACGAAAGAUGCAAAAAAGACUGGAUCAGUUAAAGCCAAACCAGCUAAAGCUAAAUCGUCUCCGAAUAAAGCAAAGGCAUUAAAAGCUAAAACACCUAGUGUCAAAACCAAGAAAGCAGCGGUCAAUAAGAAACCGGUCACCAAGAAAGCGCCAACUAAAAAGUAAAACCUAGGGCUACAAAAAUUCUUAACAUAUCGAUCAGAAAUGGAUUUUUAU